AUAUGUUCCAAGAACCCCAGUGGAUGCCUGAAACCAUAGAUAGUACUGAACCCCAUUUUCACUAUUUUUCCCCAUAUAUACUUAUGAUACAGUUUAAUUUCUAAAAUAAGCACAGUAAGAGAUUAACAAUAAAAUAGAACGAUUAUAACAAUAUACUAUUUUAUGUGAAUGUGGUACUUCCCUCUGCAGCUCUCUUUCAAAAUAUCUUAUUGUACUGUACUUACCCUUCUUGUGAUAAUGAGAUAAAAUGCCUAGUGAUGAGCUGAAAUGUGAAUGACACAGGCAUUGUGACGCAGGAUUGUGACAGCGUUAGGCUACUAUUGACCUUCUGCUGAUUCGUCAGAAGGAGAACCUGCUUCCUGACUGUAACUGACAGCAGCAAUGGAUAACAGACUGUGGAAAGUGAAACCAGAAACCACUACGGAAAACAGAUGGUUCCAGGGGGUUCUUGUGGCCUACCCUAAAGAUGAAGGCAGGACAAUCACUUGUGUUUGGCUAAUGGAAAUGGAGUGUCUACAGUUGUGUUGUACUGAGAAUGUGGAGAAGCAGCUAAAGCUUCAGGAAGGCAAAGAUCAUCAUAAACCUGACUCUUCAAAAUCUUAACAUCUUGGUAUUUUAAGAACAUACAAUCUAAACAUGAGUGGCUGAGCCAUUAAAAGUCACCAAGUAGGGGAUCCCUGGGUGGCUCAGCAGUUUAGCGCCUGCCUUCAGCCCAGGGCAUGAUCCUGGAGUCCUGGGAUCAAGUCCCACAUCAGGCUCUCUGCAUGGAGCCUGCUUCUCCCUCUGCCGAUGUCUCUGCCUCUCUCUCUCUCUCUCUCUCUCUCUCUCAUGAAUAAAUAAAAUAUAAAAUAUUUUUUUUUAAAUGAAAAAAAUAAAAGUCACCAAGUAAAUCAUGAGCCAUCAUCCUGAGCAGGAACCGAAAAUGAGCUGGAAUUAGACUUUGAGACUUAGUGGGAUAUAUCUGUCCUUCAUGGAUAUUUUCUUUGUUCCCCACGAUGCCUUUAAAAAUGUCUUUAAAAUUUUUUUGUUUAAUUUCUUGAACUUCCAAACAUUUAGAAAAUGGGAACUAUCAUGUUAGAAAAAAAUCAAGUUGCCUCCGCCUGAAGAAUCAGAUCUAAGAUUUGGCCCAUGUUUCCAUGUGGCAAACGGGGCUAGAGUAUAUGGAAAAUGCAUUGUUUCACUGAAGUCCUCACCACUCUUGGAUGCCUCAUAACCCAGCCAGUUUUACUUAUUUAUAAUACUUGUCAGAUUCCUGAAGGAGUUUGUAAUUCCUGACUGAAGUACCAGAGUUCAGAGUACAUUACUAGAGAGAGAGAGACUAUAUCCCAUCUGUUAACUCAUAUACUCACCAGUAGUUUGAGGGGGGUAGGUUUCUAGAAUAUGAUAUUGUGUCUUUAAGGCUAUUUUUUUCCAGGCUGUGCAAAAGGAAUUGCUUACCCUUGCCCCAGGUUUCCUUGUUUGUCACUUUGAUCAGCUUGGUGUUUUCUGUUUGGUUAUCAGCAUUUGUGAAGAAGGACAGUGUGACCUCUGGGGCAGGAGGACCCUUAGAGUGAAGAAAGCUGUUAGCAAAUCAAUCCUAAAGUGAUUUAUUUCCAGGCAGUAGAUAGCAAGGAGGCAGUGUAUAUUUAUCAUUUGGACAAGGCCUUAAUAAAGAUAAAUUCAGAGUUUGAGUUCCUCUAAGGAAGUGGCUUUAACUUCUGACAUAUGCCAAAAUGCAUGUCACAGCUAAUUAGGUGGUGUCCACAUGUGCCUUGCAAGUGGGUAUAGUUAGGCAGUGAAUAGGAAUGAUAUUCUUGUCUGCAUUUAGAUGUGCCAUUGAUGGCCUGAAAAUUCAGGGGGCUUUGAGACUAAGGAACAAUGUCAAAAGUUAAAUCAAAGGAGAUCCCCAAAGCCAAUAAUGAAUGUAUGCUCAUUAUAAAAUCUAUGUCAAGACUUUGUUUAGCUGUAGCAUAGAGAGCAAAUGAACAGAAUGACAGUCUUACAUCCUUAUGAUGAAUAAAAUCAUGAUUGCUGAAUUUCAUUUUUAUUUUCUCCCAUCUGCAUUUGUCCAAUUUCUGCAGUUACCAAAAAGGGGAUAGGAGGGUUUAAAGGCCUAUUAUCCAAAUGAUCUCAGAAACUAGUACUUUGGGCUCUCUGCCUUGAGAAUCAGAACCUGGACUAAUAUAAGGCAAACCCCUGUGGCACAAAAUUUAAGAAGACUGUCACUCUCGGGGUCAUGCAAGUGUAGGGUCAGCGUGUUAGAAUGAGCACCUCCUUAAAUUGUGCUCCCUAGAGGCCUGGCUUACCCUUGUCCCAACCUUGUUGGGAACAUUUUCAUUCUUGAAUUGUGAGGCUAUAAGAGCUCACCAAUAGAACGGGACGGCUAAAAAAAUGUGGACUAUUUACAAAGUCAUGCACAAUACCACGUG
rnacentral:lncRNA from 1 species